AUUGGCUGUCAUUCUUGUGUUGGGUAGCACCGGGAGCGGAGACCGAUUACGUGGAGUCAGGAGAGUACGCGCAGGACGAUCCAGAACCAUUCCAAGCUGAGGAUAUCACAGGCAAGAUGACAUGACCUUGAUCCCAUAUCUAGACUUGUUAUGUUAGUUUCGAUUCCACGUCAUAUUGCUCGCUGCCUACCACUGAAAAUAUAUUGCCUCUUCAUAUGCCAUGAGCCUAAACACCU
rnacentral:lncRNA from 1 species